GGCGUCCAUGGUGGACGCGUAUUAUUGGGCUGUACAUUCCUGGGUUGAGCAUUCUCGGGCCGCGCAAUAUUGGUCCGGGGCGAUAAUACGAAGCCACUCUUUUCACAGGGCAAUAAUGUACGACCCCAUAAUUCGCGUCCAAUAAUUUGAGUCCCUUGGCUUUCAAUUAUUGGGCUGCGCAUUAUUGGUACAGGUCGAGAAAGCCCGACCCAAUAAUGUACGACCCAAUAAUAGGAAGCCAAAAACCAGAGAGAUUCUUUUUUUUAAGGGAGCUGUCAAAAUUAGUAGGGACGUUCUGACAUUAGCUCUUGACAAUUUAAAAAUAAUCGGUUUUUUCUAGUGCCAUCUUUCAGUGACAUUGACAGUAUUGUAUUGACACUUGUUGGUUUACAAAUACAAUAAAAUGAAUUCUAAUAAAAGAAACAGUAGACUCAGUAGAGGUACGAGGUACUGAAAAAAUAUUAAUUAAUGGAGAAGCCGAAGUUGGAGGAAAACAAGAAGAUUCGAUGAGAAUGGUGUGGCACUUAAUGCCGCCGGGACAGUAACCUAGCUGCAGCUCCAACUCUAGGGAAUUGGGCUGAAUGAACGCAACACGUGAUCGACAGCCCACCUGCUUCCUGCCGAGCGUCCCUACACUACAUCUACAUGGAUUCGCUUAUUCUGCUCUACAAAACUUCUGAGCUGAUACAAGCAGCCAGAAUGAGUCUCUGCUGAGUCGCCGGCGCCGGACGUGCGUCGCGCGCCUCGGGCGACUGACGUCUUCGUGUGAGUCGCCAAUUGCAGGGGAAGAUACGAAUAGUUAGGUAUAAAAGCUACUUUUUCACGCCACUGUUCGGAAAUGUGGCAAUAGAUGGUCUAAAACCAAGCUGGAAAGUAGGCAAUAGCUGUAGCACCUGAAGCACCACUACUACAAUGUUUCAUUGUUGUCAUCAUCUGUCAUUGGUGACAGUUCGCUACAGCAAUGAGUAUCAUUUAAAACAUAAAAAUCAAUAAAAGGUCUUUUUUUGCGCAACUUUUUCCUUCAAAAAUAAAAUUAGGUUAUUUAUAGCACCAAUUUCUUGUUUAAAAAAAAAAGAAAUAUCAAAACCAUUCACUUCAUUUUUUUUUUAACAAUUAUCCAUUCAGUUCACGCUUAAGGCGUUUUUUACUUUUGUAGCUGUUUGUGGUUUUAUUAGCAAAAACGCUUCUAAUUUACAGUCGGUUUGAAGCAAAUAACAGAAAAACGCCUCUUAAAAGUGGUAAAAAAAGUAAAAAAAGGCGGGAUCUGAAAAUACCUACUGAAUUGGAUAGUGUAAAUUAUGUUUGACUAAAAAAUAUAAGAAACGCGUAUCUACGCUCGCUAUAAAAAUGAGUUCUUCUAGUGAAGAAAAUUAUAUUCUUACGCCUACCGAAAUUCAAGAGACAGUACAGGCAGUGGCUAGUAAUUUGCUACCAGAGAAAUCGCGGGCUAGUACUUAUAGUUAUGCAAAUGUUUUCUUAUUUCCUCGCAGUAGUCGUGAAAAGAACUAUGUAAUGCCUCGGCCGGAAACGCUAAAGAUGGACUCGUAUUAUUCGAGGACCUCCACUAACGUGUCGGCCCUCGAACUCACUCGUCCAUCUUUUAGCGAUUUUCCGUCCUCUCCUACAAUGUACUAUAGUCAACCUCGCCUCAGUACUGUUUGUAUUGACUGAAAUACAAGUAGCAUAUAUGAGACGUUCGGACGUAUCCGUGAAAAUACGAAGGUAAAGGAAAUUGCACUACAUUUUUAGAACCUAUUCACCUGUCAGUAAAAUAUUGAAAAGGAAA